UGGUCUGUGGCUUAGUUAGUUAAAGCGUCGGCCCAGCCAUACGGAGUCAUGGGUUCGAAUCCCACCAAAACAA
rfam:Aedes albopictus isolate Foshan contig12920, whole genome shotgun sequence.